rnacentral:rRNA from 1 species
AGGCCGGUCCUCCAGAAAAACACCGGCUAAUUACGUGCCAGCAGCCGCGGUAAUACGUAGGGUGCAAGCGUUGUCCGGAAUUAUUGGGCGUAAAGAGCUCGUAGGCGGUUUGUCACGUCUGCUGUGAAAACCCGAGGCUCAACCUCGGGCUUGCAGUGGGUACGGGCAGACUAGAGUGCGGUAGGGGAGAUUGGAAUUCCUGGUGUAGCGGUGGAAUGCGCAGAUAUCAGGAGGAACACCGAUGGCGAAGGCAGAUCUCUGGGCCGUAACUGACGCUGAGGAGCGAAAGCAUGGGGAGCAAACAGGCUUAGAUACCCUGGUAGUCCAUGCCGUAAACGUUGGGAACUAGAUGUGGGGACCAUUCCACGGUCUCCGUGUCGUAGCUAACGCAUUAAGUUCCCCGCCUGGGGAGUACGGCCGCAAGGCUAAAACUCAAAGGAAUUGACGGGGGCCCGCACAAGCGGCGGAGCAUGCGGAUUAAUUCGAUGCAACGCGAAGAACCUUACCAAGGCUUGACAUAUACGAGAACGCACUGGAGACAGUGAACUCUUUGGACACUCGUAUACAGGUGGUGCAUGGUUGUCGUCAGCUCGUGUCGUGAGAUGUUGGGUUAAGUCCCGCAACGAGCGCAACCCUCGUCCUAUGUUGCCAGCACGUAAUGGUGGGAACUCAUGGGAUACUGCCGGGGUCAACUCGGAGGAAGGUGGGGAUGAGGUCAAAUCAUCAUGCCCCUUAUGUCUUGGGCUUCACGCAUGCUACAAUGGCCGGUACAAUGGGCUGCAAUACCGUAAGGUGGAGCGAAUCCCAAAAAGCCGGUCUCAGUUCGGAUUGAGGUCUGCAACUCGACCUCAUGAAGUCGGAGUCGCUAGUAAUCGCAGAUCAGCAACGCUGCGGUGAAUACGUUCCCGGGCCUUGUACACACCGCCCGUCAAGUCAUGAAAGUCGGUAACACCCGAAGCCAGUGGCCUAACCUUUGGAGGGAGCGCGAAGGGUGACUG